rnacentral:rRNA from 1 species
UACGUAGGGUGCGAGCGUUAAUCGGAAUUACUGGGCGUAAAGCGUGCGCAGGCGGUUCGCCAAGUCAGGUGUGAAAUCCCCGGGCUUAACCUGGGAAUUGCGCUUGAAACUAGCGGGCUUGAGUGUGGCAGAGGGGGGUGGAAUUCCACGUGUAGCAGUGAAAUGCGUAGAUAUCAGGAGGAACACCAACGGCGAAGGCAGCUAGCUGGACGAGAUCCGACGCUCAGGCUCGAAAGCGUGGGGAGCAAACAGG